UUGCACAGUGAACACCCAAGUAUACUUCAUAGUUCCCUUGGUAUGACUCUGUGCUGUGUCUCUGCAAUGGAAGGAAUUCUUUCCUUUUACAUGUAUUCAAAAGGACUGUAAAUUU